rfam:Gossypium raimondii Chr01_contig_147, whole genome shotgun sequence.
UGUUAAAAAUUCCUUCCAUUUCUAUUGUUCAAAACUGACAUGGCUAAAAGAAUAACCAAACAGUUACACAUGACAUGCCAUGUAUACUCCAUGGUGACAUAUAGGAACCAAAUUUUAACAGCAGAAAUGGAUGAACUUUUUAAUA